rnacentral:rRNA from 1 species
GACGAACGCUGGCGGCGUGCUUAACACAUGCAAGUCGAACGGAAAGGCCCUGCUUUUGUUGGGUGCUCGAGUGGCGAACGGGUGAGUAACACGUGAGUAACCUGCCCUUGACUUUGGGAUAACUUCAGGAAACUGGGGCUAAUACCUGAUAGGAGCUCCUGCUGCAUGGUGGGGGUUGGAAAGUUUCGGCGGUUGGGGAUGGACUCGCGGCUUAUCAGCUUGUUGGUGGGGUAGUGGCUUACCAAGGCUUUGACGGGUAGCCGGCCUGAGAGGGUGACCGGCCACAUUGGGACUGAGAUACGGCCCAGACUCCUACGGGAGGCAGCAGUGGGGAAUAUUGCACAAUGGGCGGAAGCCUGAUGCAGCAACGCCGCGUGCGGGAUGACGGCCUUCGGGUUGUAAACCGCUUUCGCCUGUGACGAAGCGUGAGUGACGGUAAUGGGUAAAGAAGCACCGGCUAACUACGUG